rnacentral:rRNA from 1 species
UACGUAGGGUGCAAGCGUUAAUCGGAAUUACUGGGCGUAAAGCGUGCGCAGGCGGUUGUGUAAGACAGAUGUGAAAUGCUCGGGCUUAACCUGGGAACUGCAUUUGUGACUGCACGGCUAGAGUGUGUCAGAGGGGGGUAGAAUUCCACGAGUAGCAGUGAAAUGCGUAGAUAUGUGGAGGAAUACCGAUGGCGAAGGCAGCCCCCUGGGAUAACACUGACGCUCAUGCACGAAAGCGUGGGGAGCAAACAGG